UGCGCAUGGUCUUGAGGGAAACACAAAUCAGUUUGCUGCCACCCCUGAUUCAGACCCAUAUGCUGUCCUCAUUCCCUGCACAUGCGUUUGAAUGGUUGAACCACAAUAGAAUACUUAUUAUUUCCACUUCUUGACUAAACUCAGCCCCUAAAUCCCCUCCACAAGCCGUGAAUCCCCAAGGGAAAACAACCAGAAAAGUUGCAUGUUCCUUCCUCCUCUCUAUUCCCUCAAACCGUGAGUUAUCUAGGAGGAGAACAACCAUCCAAGUUUCCAUUCCAUUCCCUGCAUGGUUCGAUUGAAUGACAGCAGCCAAGGAGAGCACAACAUGAGUUCAUCCUUCAUCCAUUCCUUGUGCGGCCCUGCACCUAGAAACAAAGAGGUGUAUUCAUUCCCCUAUUUCCUGGUUCACCUUUCCUCUCUUCGAUUUGAUGAGGAGAUUCUUUUGCAUGCAGAUUUUGAAGCUCGAUUCCUUGUGUAGAAGAGGGGUGAGGGUGUUAGUUGCUACUCUAAUCGAUUUGUAAUCUUUGUGUACUGGCAAGAAGGUUCAUAAACCUCAAGGAUGUUGGACGGACUUGGGGCUAUUUUGAUUAAAAAGCUAAAGUAUCAGGAGGACGUAAAAGCAUUUGGUGAAGUAGUAUUUUGGAUAUCUGCUGUUGUUUUAAAAUCAUGUUGUUUGUCGCUGUUUAUUUGGCUGUGCUGAAUCUUGACGUUAUGUACUGUUUUAGGGAUUGACCAAGUGAAUGUAGUAUUUUAUUUUGGGAACACACAGUAGCUUGAUUAUUGUAUUUGCUAAGACUUAUGUAAUUCGGUUAUCUUAUUUUGACAAACAA